rnacentral:rRNA from 1 species
GACGAACGCUGGCGGCGUGCCUAAUACAUGCAAGUCGAACGAAGUGGGGACUGGUGAGUAACACGUGGGUAACCUGCCAUCAGAGGGGAUAACACUUGGAAACAGGUGCUAAACCGAUACUGAUGGAUGAACCCGCGAUGGAUUAGCUGGUGGGUGAGGUACCGGCUCACCAUGGCAACGAUGCAUAGCCGACCAGAGGGAGGGAGCGGCCACGCUGGGACUGAGCCACGGCCCAGACUCCUACGGGAGGCAGCAGUAGGGAAUCUUCGGCAAUGGACGAAAGUCUGACCGAGCAACGCCGCGUGAGUGAAGAAGGUUUUCGGAUCGUAAAACUCUGUUGUUAGAGAAGCGGUAUCUAACCAGAAAGCCACGGCUAACUACGUGCCAGCAGCCGCGGUAAUUC